GACUGUUGAGGAUAUAAACCUGCAACUGAUACAUAACAAAAUGUGUUUAAUUUACUUAAUGCCCGUUGUAACCAAAGUUCUCCCAUCGGUAAAUAUACUUCCGCCUUCCGGUGAAUGAAAAGUUUUGUCAGUCCAAAUUCUAACAGUGGACAGAACGAUUACCUGCAACAAAGAGACAAGAAUGUCUGCUUUACCUCCGGAAUGGUGGUUUGGAGAUUCCUCGUGCGAACCAGUGCCAAAAGUGCCAGUAAUACAAUAGGCCAAGCAAUUUCGAUGAGGAAUCGAACUGGUUGCCGUUUGCGCAAAGUAUAAUUUUUCCAUAUUAACAAUUUUAGCUGUUUCCCAAAAUUCAUCUUGCCGGGAUAAAAAUCAUAUCCAUAAAAUUUAUUAAUGUUGUUCCGUUCAAUCCGCACGUGGAACAGCACGAAGACCAGCUGUGACAAUAUGAAACGAGCGUGAUUAGAAAGUGAAAAUGUCGUGCAAAAAACGCCUAGAGCAAAUGGCAGUUAAACCGUGUGAUGUAAAA